CCUACGGGUGGCAGCAGUGGGGAAUAUUGCACAAUGGACGAGAGUCUGAACCAGCCAAGUAGCGUGAAGGAUGACUGCCCUAUGGGUUGUAAACUUCUUUUAUAUGGGAAUAAAAUGUUCCACGUGUGGGUUUUUGUAUGUACCAUAUGAAUAAGGAUCGGCUAACUCCGUGCCAGCAGCCGCGGUAAUACGGAGGAUCCGAGCGUUAUCCGGAUUUAUUGGGUUUAAAGGGAGCGUAGGUGGAUUGUUAAGUCAGUUGUGAAAGUUUGCGGCUCAACCGUAAAAUUGCAGUUGAAACUGGCAGUCUUGAGUACAGUAGAGGUGGGCGGAAUUCGUGGUGUAGCGGUGAAAUGCUUAGAUAUCACGAAGAACUCCGAUUGCGAAGGCAGCUCACUGGACUGCAACUGACACUGAGGCUCGAAAGUGUGGGUAUCAAACAGGAUUAGAUACCCCUGUAGUC
rnacentral:rRNA from 1 species